rnacentral:rRNA from 1 species
GAUGAACGCUGACAGCAUGCUUAACACAUGCAAGUCAACUGUGGCGGACGGGUGAGUAACGCGUAAAGAACUUGCCUCACAGUUAGGGACAACAUUUGGAAACGAAUGCUAAUACCUGAUACUGUGAGAGAGCUUUGCGUCCCAUUAGCUAGUUGGAGAGGUAACGGCUCACCAAGGCGAGGAUGGGUAGCCGGCCUGAGAGUGUGAUCGGCCACAAGGGGCUUGGGACACGGCCAGUGCUCCUACGGGAGGCAGCAGUGGGGAAUAUUGGACAAUGGACCAAAGUCUGAUCAAGCAAUUCUGUGUGCACGAUGAAGUUGUCGGAAGGUAAAGUGCUUUCAGUUGGGAAGCGGUACCAACAGAAGAAGUGACGGCUAAAUACGUGCCAGCAGCCGCGGUAAUAC